rnacentral:rRNA from 1 species
AAUCCAUAGGUUAAUGAGGCGAACCGGGGGAACUGAAACAUCUAAGUACCCCGAGGAAAAGAAAUCAACCGAGAUUCCCCCAGUAGCGGCGAGCGAACGGGGAGGAGCCCAGAGCCUGAAUCAGCAUGUGUGUUAGUGGAAGCGUCUGGAAAGGCGCGCGAUACAGGGUGACAGCCCCGUACACAAAAGCGCAUGUGCUGUGAGCUCGAUGAGUAGGGCGGGACACGUGGUAUCCUGUCUGAAUAUGGGGGGACCAUCCUCCAAGGCUAAAUACUCCUGACUGACCGAUAGUGAACCAGUACCGUGAGGGAAAGGCGAAAAGAACCCCGGCGAGGGGAGUGAAAAAGAACCUGAAACCGUGUACGUACAAGCAGUGGGAGCACCCUUUGGGGUGUGACUGCGUACCUUUUGUAUAAUGGGUCAGCGACUUAUAUUCUGUAGCAAGGUUAACCGAAUAGGGGAGCCGGAGGGAAACCGAGUCUUAAUUGGGCGUUAAGUUGCAGGGUAUAGACCCGAAACCCGGUGAUCUAGCCAUGGGCAGGUUGAAGGUUGGGUAACACUAACUGGAGGACCGAACCGACUAAUGUUGAAAAAUUAGCGGAUGACCUGUGGCUGGGGGUGAAAGGCCAAUCAAACCGGGAGAUAGCUGGUUCUCCCCGAAAGCUAUUUAGGUAGCGCCUCGUGAAUUCAUCUCCGGGGGUAGAGCACUGUUUCGGCUAGGGGGCCAUCCCGGCUUACCAACCCGAUGCAAACUGCGAAUACCGGAGAAUGUUAUCACGGGAGACACACGGCG